CAGCCGCCACGGGAAUACAGAGGGUGCGAGCGUUAAUCGGAUUUACUGGGCGUAAAGCGUGCGUAGGCGGCUUCUUAAGUCGGAUGUGAAAUCCCUGAGCUUAACUUAGGAAUUGCAUUCGAUACUGGGAAGCUAGAGUAUGGGAGAGGAUGGUAGAAUUCCAGGUGUAGCGGUGAAAUGCGUAGAGAUCUGGAGGAAUACCGAUGGCGAAGGCAGCCAUCUGGCCUAAUACUGACGCUGAGGUACGAAAGCAUGGGGAGCAAACAGGAUUAGAUACCCCGGUAGUCCCUGUCUCUUAUAC
rnacentral:rRNA from 1 species